AUCCCGACUGUUUUGUAGCACAGACCCUCCCGGCUGUAGUGCCCCCCAUCAUGGCUUCCUUCAGCUCUCAAUGGCUGCAGCGGAUGAGGCAGCUACAAAAAUCCCCGUGAAGCAGCCCCUGUUGGGAAAAAGAACCCCCCCAAGCCAAAAUCCAAGGUUACCGAGUCCCUGCUGAAGCCGAAGGGGAUGGAUGCUGUUCGCCCCAGCCUGAGAAGCAGCAGGGAGGAGUUUAGACUCGGCUUGAUGUAUUUGACCUCUACUCAGCUGGCCAAGGUCCAGGGAAAGAAACAUGAAAAACAGUAGUCGGUGUCUGCUCUGGGGAGAGAGGUCAAGGCAAACGGACGUGUGUAAUGGGCUAACUCAAUGGUUUAUUACAGAGUAUGAAAAGCAGGAAGCUUUCUGCUCACUUCAUACAUCUCCUCUGCAGAGCCAGCCAUCAGAAGCCAGCACAGACUCCAGACUGAUUAUUGUUACACAUGAUCUAUGGAGCAGAUAAAUUACAGCUUGAUUUUUAUAAGUUCCUGGAGCAGGGCAGACGUGAAACCUACACGGACUGGCAGAGCCGCAGCAAGGGCUCCUGCAGCCAGGACUCCCAUUUCCAUCACCUGCUUUGCCGAGCCUCGGAAGUGACCUAAGGCAAGUGUAAUGGAAAGCAAGGUGGAAGGCUUUUUGCACAAAAUGGAAUGGUAGCAAUGAAUAAUUAAUGGUAUUUUACCUACUUUGCCAUUUUAGCUUGUCUUUCUUAGUCGUUUUUGCCUUCCAGCCCAAAUGCUUGUCUCUAGGUUGAUACACUAAUGCAUGCAUGUGUGAGAGAUCAAA